CACGUAGGGGGCGAGCGUUGUCCGGAUUUAUUGGGCGUAAAGCGCGUGUAGGCGGCUUUGCAAGUCGGGUGUGAAAGCCCUCAGCUCAACUGAGGAAGUGCGCCCGAAACUGCAGAGCUUGAGUACCGGAGAGGAUGGUGGAAUUCCCCAAGUAGAGGUGAAAUUCGUAGAUAUGGGGAGGAACACCGGUGGCGAAGGCGACCAUCUGGACGGAUACUGACGCUGAGGAGCGAAAGCGUGGGGAGCGAACAGG
rnacentral:rRNA from 1 species